rnacentral:rRNA from 1 species
UACGAAGGGGGCUAGCGUUGCUCGGAAUCACUGGGCGUAAAGGGUGCGUAGGCGGGUUUUUAAGUCAGGGGUGAAAUCCUGGAGCUCAACUCCAGAACUGCCUUUGAUACUGAAAAUCUUGAGUCCGGGAGAGGUGAGUGGAACUGCGAGUGUAGAGGUGAAAUUCGUAGAUAUUCGCAAGAACACCAGUGGCGAAGGCGGGUCUCUGGACAGUUCCGUGGACGCUGAGG